rnacentral:rRNA from 1 species
UGGGGAAUAUUGGACAAUGGGCGAAAGCCUGAUCCAGCCAUGCCGCGUGUGUGAAGAAGGCCUUCGGGUUGUAAAGCACUUUCAGUAGGGAGGAAGCGUUGUGUGUUAAUAGUACACAGCGUUGACGUUACCUACAGAAGAAGCACCGGCUAACUCUGUGCCAGCAGCCGCGGUAAUACAGAGGGUGCAAGCGUUAAUCGGAAUUACUGGGCGUAAAGCGCACGUAGGCGGUUGUUUAAGUUGGAUGUGAAAGCCCCGGGCUCAACCUGGGAAUUGCAUUCAAAACUGGACAACUAGAGUGUGUGAGAGGGGGGUAGAAUUCCAAGUGUAGCGGUGAAAUGCGUAGAGAUUUGGAGGAAUACCAGUGGCGAAGGCGGCCCCCUGGCACAACACUGACGCUCAGGUGCGAAAGCGUGGGGAGCAAACA